rnacentral:lncRNA from 1 species
CCGCACAUUCAUAGAUAACGCUUAUUUAAAAAAAAGUGUUAUCUAUCAUUAAUUUUGUAGUAGUGAUUGGAGCUUUUCAAGGACUAAUGUGAUGACUAUGGCUUUGGAUGACCAAAUUGAGGGCUCUAAAAUAUUUCUAAUACAUUUCUGAAUUUUUCUAGGAUGUAAGUUUUCUGAAUUUUUAGAACAUAAACUAUUAUUUAACCUAUGGACUAUGACUUGAGAGGGACACUAGAUUGUUCAAGCCAUUUUCUCUUUGGUGGGAUGUAACUCUAAUUUACACAACUAUAAUACUAACCGUAAUUAGUACAGACUAGUUACAUAUAUUUCACUAUUGGACAAGAAAAGAGACAGCCAAAUUUCACUUAGUUGAAGNGAUUUUCUAGUUUAUGAAUUAUUCUAUGUUUGGCUUCUAAAAAGAUAAAGCAUCCUGCUAAUUAGAAUCAACUGCAUUGUGUAAGACAACACAAGACAAAUGAAAAUGUUUUGCUUUGACCACUUACGAGAGGAGAUAUUCUUGUUGACAUGUUCCAAAAAACUAGGCCAUGAAUAUUUCCCGGAAAUACAUCAAAGCCAAGCCUGAUAACAACAAACAUACAUGUAAUAAUUCUUCAAAAACAGAUAUUAUCUUGAGAUGCACAUACUAUUUUGACUGGUGUAACAGACCUUGAUCAUAGGCUGCCAAGGUGGGAGAGCCGACAAACCGCUAGAUACUCAACUGAACCAAAAAAGUUUAACUUAUUAGACUACCACUAUUGUCCUAACAUCAUUCUGACAUCCAAGCAACUGAAACAAUAGAAAAAAAAUCACGAUACAGAGGGAGGGAGACUGGUACAGAACAGAGGAGGCAGGGUAAAAUCUAAACAGAAAAGUUCUUCAGUCCUAUAUGUUAUGCCAAUAUCACAAGUAAUAACAAGAUAAAGGAUUUAGUCGACGCUACACUAAAAUAUGAUGCAACACAAAUUUACCCAACCACUAUUCAGGUCUCUACGUUAUAUUCACACGAUAAGAAAUAUUAUACAAAUUGAACCCAGACUAGUAAAGAUUGAGACGACAACAUUACUCACCCCA